GAUGAACGCUGGCGGCGUGCCUAAUACAUGCAAGUCGAGCGAACAGACGAGGAGCUUGCUCCUCUGACGUUAGCGGAGGACGGGUGAGUAACACGUGGAUCACCCACUUAUAUGUCUGGUAUAACUUCGGGAAACCGGCGCUAAUACCGGAUGAUAUACUGCACCGCAUGGGUCAAUGGUGAAAGUCGGUGUUGCUGUCACUUCUAGAUGGUUCCCCGCCGCAUUAGCUGGUUGGUAAGGUAACGGCUUACCAAGGCAACGAUGCGUAGCCGACCUGAGAGGGGGGUCGGCCACACUGGAACUGGGACACGGUCCAUGCUCCUACGGGAGGCAGCAGUAGGGAAUGUUCCGCAGUGGGCGAAAGCCUGACGGAGCAACGCCGCGUGAGUUGUGAAGGUCUUCGGAGCGUAAAACUCGGUUAUUAGGGAAGAACAAAUUUGGAAGUAACUAUGCACGUAUUGACGGUAACUAAUCAGAAAGCCACGGCUAACUACGUG
rnacentral:rRNA from 1 species